rnacentral:rRNA from 1 species
GAUGAACGCUGGCGGCGUGCCUAAUACAUGCAAGUCGAGCGAACAGAUAAGGAGCUUGCUCCUUUGACGUUAGCGGCGGACGGGUGAGUAACACGUGGGUAACCUACCUAUAAGACUGGAAUAACUCCGGGAAACCGGGGCUAAUGCCGGAUAACAUUUAGAACCGCAUGGUUCUAAAGUGAAAGAUGGUUUUGCUAUCACUUAUAGGUGGACCCGCGCCGUAUUAGCUAGUUGGUAAGGUAACGGCUUACCAAGGCAACGAUACGUAGCCGACCUGAGAGGGUGGUCGGCCACCUGGGAACCUGGACACGGUCCAGAGUCCUACGGGAGGCAGCAGUAGGGAAUCUUCCGCAAUGGGCGAAAGCCUGACGGAGCAACGCCGCGUGAGUGAUGAAGGUCUUCGGAUCGUAAAACUCUGUUAUUAGGGAAGAACAAAUGUGUAAGUAACUGUGCACGUCUUGACGGUACCUAAUCAGAAAGCCACGGCUAACUACGUG